GAUUUGGGGGAUGAAGAAAGGUAUCAUAAUGAUGAGGAAGAAGAAGAAAUAAUGGGAUCGAAAAAAUGUCAAGUAUGUGAUGAAGCACAGUCGAGAUACAAGUGUCCCAAUUGCUUCAUCCCCUUUUGUUCUUUGGUCUGUUUCAAGAAGCAUAAAGAAAUUCCAUGCGGGAAACCAGAACCGGAACCCGAAUCAGAACCACUUUCUGAGGAAAAACUUGCUCCUGCUCCAGCAUUGCAUGUGGAGAAGCCAAUCUAUGUUGAUGAGCCAGGCGAAGCGGUCAAUCAGUCGCAACUAGAGUCUAUAGCUUCUUCUUCGGAAAUUCUUGAGGCUAUACGGAACAAAGAUCUUCAAAAACUUAUAUACAACUUGGAUUCUUCUUUGGAUGCAGAGAAUGAACUUGAUAAGGCAAUGGAAAAGGAAGAAUUUCGCAUAAUCAGUGAAAAAAUUUUGUCCAUCAUUAGUUAAUGGAGAAGUUCAACAGGAUACGAUGAGUAGUGCUGUAACGAAGGAAGAUCUUUCCCUUGUUCAGAAGCGAUAAAUAAGUUGUUGGGGGUAUCUACCAAGAAGAUUUUGCUUGAAUCUUACGUUUUACUUGAUAAUUUUAGCGAUACAACUGCAGGCAGUUCUAAUUCAGAUAUCCUUCGAGCUGUGUAAGGCGUGCUCUUCUGCCCUCUGCUUCUGCUUCCAUUUAUUUGUAUUUGUAAUCUAAACGAAGUGUAUCGAUAUAGCUGUUCUUUUUCCUUUCAAAAAACAGUUGAAAGUCUAGAUGAAAUAUUGUCCUGUAUUCCAAGGGUGGUGGAGAAUGGAAGCUAAGACUAGUACCACCUCUUAUUGGUAUGGUAGUUAUCAUGGAUUCUAUAGCCAGCUCCA
rnacentral:misc_RNA from 1 species